GCAGAGUAGAAGCAUGUGCGUUAAGUAUCGGCUGAACGGGGAGUGGUCAGCCGGGCGAAAAGUUAUCUUGCGGUUCAUGUUUCGCAUCCCGCUGU
rnacentral:ncRNA from 1 species